UAUUAAAAUUUAAAUUUUCAUUGAGAGUGGUACAAAUUUAGUGAUCACAAGCGUGCUCGAACAUGGCCAUUUUUGUGGUAGGGUCGACUCAAGAGUAAAACAAUUUAAGGAAGGGUUUUAGAAGUAGAACCCCAAAAUAGAAAAUAAUUAUUAUGGAAAAAUGCUUUAUGAAUAUUAUUAUUGGUGGAUGUCCAUAUAUGUUAUAGGCUCAUGU
rnacentral:lncRNA from 1 species